rnacentral:rRNA from 1 species
CUAACAAGGAUUCCCCUAGUAACGGCGAGUGAAGCGGGAUGAGCUCACCAUGUGAAUCUGCGCAACCAGCAAUGGUGCGCCGAAUUGUGGUCUGAAGAAGUAUUGUCGGCCGCGAGUCCGGGUUAACUGUAUUGGAAAAUACGGCCUGUGAGGGUGAAAGCCCCGUUCAUGCCUGGAYUUGUUGCGCUUUGGCACAUGCUUUCUACGAGUCGAGUUGCUUGGGAUUGCAGCUCAAAUUUGGUGGUAAAUUCCAUCUAAAGCUAAAUAUUGGUGUGACACCGAUAGUGUACAAGUACCGUGAGGGAAAGAUGCAAAGAACUUUGAAAAGAGAGUUAAAGAGUACCUGAAAUUGUUAAAAGGGAAGCGAAGGAAUCCAGUGUAAAGCGAAGCCAUUCUUCUCAAGCCACUUGUGGUUUGGGCGCUGUGGUUAGCUGUACUAAUUCUGGGCUUGACCUGGGGCAUACGUUCUUCGAGUAGACGACUCUUCGGAGUGAGUGCUCGUUUUUCAUAUCCUGGGUCGGGCUGAGGUCAGUCACUCUGUGCUCGUGAUGAAUUAGGAAAUGGAUUUCUUUACCCCGUCUUGAAACACGGACCAAGGAGUCUAACAUAUGUGCAAGUACGUCAGUGGCAAACUGAUAUGCGUAAUGAAAGUAACAGUGGUAGGAACCUUCGGGUGCACUAUCCGCCGGCCAUAAUCCUUCGGGAGAAAGGUCUGAGUGUGAGCAUACAUGUUGGGACCCGAAAGAUGGUGAACUAUGCCUGAGUAGGGCGAAGCCAGGGGAAAC